rnacentral:rRNA from 1 species
AGCGAACGCUGGCGGCAGGCUUAACACAUGCAAGUCGAGCGGAUGUAGCAAUACAUCAGCGGCAGACGGGUGAGUAACACGUGGGAACGUACCUUUUGGUUCGGAACAACACAGGGAAACUUGUGUUAAUACCGGAUAAGCCCUUACGGGGAAAGAUUUAUCGCCGAAAGAUCGGCCCGCGUCUGAUUAGCUAGUUGGUGAGGUAACGGCUCACCAAGGCGACGAUCAGUAGCUGGUCUGAGAGGAUGAUCAGCCACAUUGGGACUGAGACACGGCCCAAACUCCUACGGGAGGCAGCAGUGGGGAAUAUUGGACAAUGGGCGCAAGCCUGAUCCAGCCAUGCCGCGUGAGUGAUGAAGGCCCUAGGGUUGUAAAGCUCUUUUGUGCGGGAAGAUAAUGACGGUACCGCAA